rnacentral:lncRNA from 1 species
GCCUUUCAGUUUUCUGUUUUCAAACUGCCAUUUCAGUUGGUGUCAUUUUUCUUUUUGUACUUAUGCCCUUCUGGUUGCAUUUUUUUUUUUAAAGCCAAGUAAUUGCCAUUAAUAAGCUUUUUUAAAUAAAAUGAACUAAUCUUCCUUUGAAAACUUUAAAAUAGUGAUAAUAUUCUUUUCACCACCGUUGAUGCUCAUCAGAAUAACCAGGGGAAUCUUAAAAACUGUAUGUGUACACAUGAUAUUGGAUUUUUGUUUUUUUGAGAGGCCUCAUAGGCAAUUUUAAUGCAGAGGCAAGUUGAGAAUCAGUUGGUUAUACUUUUCACAUAGAAGAUGAUAUGUUUCAAAGAGCUCUGUUCUGUUAUUGAAAAUAGGCCACUGGCUUUAAAUAUAAGCCCUGGAUUAUUUAUUAGUAACACUUUAAGAGAAAUCCACCUGUGAGCUUUAACAUUUGCUAUAUUUUCUGUAGGUCUGGAUCUGAAAAUUUAUUAAUAAAAGAAUUAAAAAAAUAAAAAUCCUAAUCUUGAAUUGAGGGGAGAACCCUGGCACCUGGAAAGGAGAACUCACUGGAAGUAGCAAGAUGAACCAUCUGUCUUAGAGAUAUUAAGUUACUAGGGGGCUUCCUAAAAAUGACAAACAAGAGAGAGUAAUCAGUGAUUGGAACUGGUGCUAGAAGGUACUAGGCUACAUGAUAAGGCUGGCUUGGUACUGAAUGCGAGUCCAGCUUGCCCCAGAAUGCCAAGGUCUGUCUUACACCUAUGGAUGGAAAGGGCAGAGCCUGCAAGUAGGAGCCAAGUGGUUCCAGCGAGGGGGAAAGGAAGUCUUCAGAUUAGAGGCAGGGAGUCCAGUCUGAAAACGUGAUGCACCUGCCAUUAGUGAUGGUACCUGUGACAGCAUAUGUGCCCUUGGUCUUGUCACCUGGCAUUGAAUGCCUGCCCUGCCCGAACUUGACUACAUAGUCUUCUCUUUCUAGUUGAAGACUGGAUUCUUCUUGAAAUUGACUGCAUAGUCUUCUCUUUCUAUUCUUUGAAUUCUUAUUUGGAUUUCCUUAGCACUGUGUUCAGGAAAUGCUAUCAUUCCUUACAAGCACCAUCAGCAUAAUAAUUUACUUGAAUGACCAUAUGUGGUUUUAAUUCUGUAUUUUCAGAGGCUUUCAGAAGGAUGUUUUCUUGCAGUUUUACUGCUUUCAUGCCUAACAUCUUAGUCCAAUCUGGAUGCUAUAACAAAAAUACCACAGACUAGGUAGCUUAAACACAGAAAUUUAUUUUUCAUAGUUCUGCAGUCUGGGAAGUCCA